AGAGUUUGAUCCUGGCUCAGAAUCAACGCUGGCGGCGUGCCUCAGACAUGCAAGUCGAACGCGAAAGGCCCCUUCGGGGGCCGAGUAGAGUGGCGUCCGGGUGAGUAACACGUAGGUAAUCUACCUCCGGGUGGGGAAUAACGACCGGAAACGGUCGCUAAUACCGCAUAACGCAGCGGCACCACAUGGUGACAGUUGUUAAAGCGGGGGAUCGCAAGACCUCGCGCCUGAAGAGGAGCCUGCGGCGGAUUAGCUAGUUGGCGGGGUAACGGCCCACCAAGGCGACGAUCCGUAGCCGGCCUGAGAGGGCGGUCGGCCACACUGGCACUGACAUACGGGCCAGACUCCUACGGGAGGCAGCAGUCGGGAAUUUUGGGCAAUGGGCGAAAGCCUGACCCAGCAACGCCGCGUGAAGGAUGAAGCUUUUCGGAGUGUAAACUUCAUAAGAGUGGGACGAAUAAGUGGGGGAUAACACCCCCCAUGAUGACGGUACCAUUUGUAAGCUCCGGCUAACUCCGUGCCAGCAGCCGCGGUAAUACGGGGGGAGCAAGCGUUGUUCGGAUUUACUGGGCGUAAAGGGCGCGUAGGCGGCGCAACAAGUCACUUGUGAAAUCUCCGGGCUUAACCCGGAGCGGCCAAGUGAUACUGUCGUGCUAGAGUGCGGAAGGGGCUACUGGAAUUCUCGGUGUAGCGGUGAAAUGCGUAGAUAUCGAGAGGAACACCUGCGGCGAAGGCGGGUAGCUGGGCCGACACUGACGCUGAGGCGCGAAAGCCAGGGGAGCGAACGGGAUUAGAUACCCCUGUAGUCC
rnacentral:rRNA from 1 species